rnacentral:snoRNA from 1 species
AUGAUUAUACUCUUUAGGAUCAUUUUUAUAGUGACCUAACCGAGUCCACACAUUCACAUGUGCCACACCUUUAACUUCAUUCGAUGAGACUGUUCACGCCGCUCUUACACCGAGACCUUUGCUGCAACUUGCAGUUCGAUGACGUGCGCUGGUGAGCGAGCCAGCCGCUUGCGACUCGGUUUUGCGAACCAGCGGGGUGGGUGUGACAUUUCUGAUGAAGU